rnacentral:rRNA from 1 species
GACGAACGCUGGCGGCGUGCUUAACACAUGCAAGUCGAGCGGAAAGGCCCUUCGGGGUACUCGAGCGGCGAACGGGUGAGUAACACGUGAGUAACCUGCCCCAGACUUUGGGAUAACCCUCGGAAACGGGGGCUAAUACCGGAUACGACACAGCUUCGCAUGGGGUCUGUGUGGAAAGUUUUUCGGUUUGGGAUGGGCUCGCGGCCUAUCAGCUUGUUGGUGGGGUGAUGGCCUACCAAGGCGACGACGGGUAGCCGGCCUGAGAGGGCGACCGGCCACACUGGGACUGAGACACGGCCCAGACUCCUACGGGAGGCAGCAGUGGGGAAUAUUGAACAAUGGGCGGAAGCCUGAUGCAGCGACGCCGCGUGAGGGAUGACGGCCUUCGGGUUGUAAACCUCUUUCAGCAGGGACGAAGCGUAAGUGACGGUACCUGCAGAAGAAGCGCCGGCCAACUACGUG